CCAGCCAGCCCGGCGGUAAUAGGUUAGGUGGGCAAGGUUGGUUCGGGAAUUAUUUGGGGGUAAAAGCGGGGGCAGCGGGUUUUUUAAGUUUUGUUGGAAAAGCCCCCGGCUCCACCCUUGGAGGGUCCAUUGGAAACGGGGAGACUUGAGGCCAGAGGAGGAUAGUGGAAUUCCAAGUGUAGCGUUGAAAUGCGUAGAGAUUUGGAGGACCACCAGUGCCGAAGGGGAUUUUUUGUUCUGUAACUGACAUUGAGGCGGGAAAGCGUGGGGAGCAACCAGGAUUAGAUACCUUGUUAUUCCACCCGUUAAACGAGGAGUGUUAAGUGUUAGGGGGUUUCCGCCCUUUAGUGUUGCAGUUAACCCAUUAACCAUUCCCCUUGGGGGGUACGGUGGCAGGAUUGAAAUUCAAAGAAAUUGACGGGGGCCCCCCCAACCGGUGGACCAUGUGGUUUAUUUGGAAGCACCGGGAGGACCUUUCCCAGUUCUUGCCAUCCCGUUGACCACGGUAGAGAUAUGGUUUUCCUUUCGGGGCCAACGGUGCCAGGUGGUGCAUGGUGUUGUUCAGCUGGUGUCGUGAGAUGUUGGGUUAAUUCCCCCACCGAGCCCAACCCUUGUUUUUAGUUCCCUUCAUUUAGUUGGCCAUUUUAAGGUGACUCCCGGUGCCAACCCGGAGGAAGGUGGGGAGGACGUCAAUUCUUCAUCCCCCUUAUGCCUUGGGUUCCCCACGUGUUCCAAUGGACGAUCCAACCGGUUGCCACCUCGCGGGAGGGAGUUAUUCCGAUAAAGUCGUUUUCAGUUCGGAUGUUAGGUUGCAAUUCCCUUCCAUGAACCCGGAAUCGUUGGUAAUCGCGGAUCACCAUGCGGGGGUGAAUACGUUCCCGGCCUUUGUCCCCCCCCCCCUUAACGCCACGAGAGUUUGUACCACCCGAAGUCGUGUGGGGUACCCUUUGGAGCCAGCCGCUUAA
rnacentral:rRNA from 1 species